rnacentral:rRNA from 1 species
UACGUAGGGGGCAAGCGUUGUCCGGAUUUAUUGGGCGUAAAGAGCGUGUAGGCGGCUUUACAGGUCCGCUGUGAAAACUCAGGGCUCAACCUUGAGCCGUCGGUGGAAACCGUAAAGCUAGAGUCCGGAAGAGGAGAGUGGAAUUCCCGGUGUAGCGGUGAAAUGCGCAGAUAUCGGGAAGAACACCCGUGGCGAAGGCGGCUCUCUGGGACGGUACUGACGCUGAGACGCGAAAGCGUGGGGAGCGAACAGG